rnacentral:rRNA from 1 species
CGGACGGGUGAGUAACACGUGGGCAACCUACCCUGAAGCGGGGGAUAACAUCUGGAAACAGGUGCUAAUACCGCAUAACAACGAAAACCACAUGGUUUUCGUUUCAAAGAUGGUUUCGGCUAUCACUUCAGGAUGGGCCCGCGGUGCAUUAGCUAGUUGGUAAGGUAAAGGCUUACCAAGGCGAUGAUGCAUAGCCGAGUUGAGAGACUGAUCGGCCACAUUGGGACUGAGACACGGCCCAAACUCCUACGGGAGGCAGCAGGC